rnacentral:rRNA from 1 species
GACGAACGCUGGCGGCGUGCUUAACACAUGCAAGUCGAACGAAGUGGCGAACGGGUGAGUAACGCGUAAUCAACCUGCCCUUCAGAGGGGGCCAACAGGUGGAAACGACUGCUAAUAACGCAUACUGAAGGAGGGGAUUGCGGCUGAUUAGCUAGUUGGAGGGGUAACGGCCAACCAAGGCGAUGAUCAGUAGCCGGUCUGGGAGGAUGAGCUGCCAGCUUGGGACUGAGACCCGGCCCAGACUCCUACGGGGGGCAGCAGUGGGGAAUCUGCCGCAAUGGACGAAAUUCUGACGGAGCAACGCCGCGGUAGUGAUGACGGCCUUCGGGUUGUAAAGCUCUGUUAAUCGGGACGCGGUACCGGAAUAGAAAGCCACGGCUAACUACGUGCCAGCAGCCGCGGUAAUUC